UUCAAGAAUAUAUUUUCAGAAUUCAACUCUUUUUUUCUUCUUCUACAGAUGUAAAUUUCAUAAUUGACAAACAAAGCAAAACGGUAUAUAUAUCUUGAAAAACCGAUCCACAAAUAAUAAUCUACUACUAAAUGAGCGUCCAUCCACUCCAUAAUGUGUGUGAUAAUGCGUUUAUCAACUGUGUUUGUGGAUGUUAUAUAGGUUAGUAGCUUU
rnacentral:sRNA from 1 species